GGAGGAAAGUAGGGGAUCGAAAGACCUUGCGCUUUGGGAGCGGCCGAUGUCUGAUUAGCUAGUUGGUGGGGUAAAGGCCUACCAAGGCGACGAUCAGUAGUUGGUCUGAGAGGACGACCAGCCACACUGGGACUGAGACACGGCCCAGACUCCUACGGGAGGCAGCAGUGGGGAAUUUUGGACAAUGGGCGCAAGCCUGAUCCAGCAAUGCCGCGUGAGUGAAGAAGGCCUUCGGGUUGUAAAGCUCUUUCAGUCGAGAAGAAAAAGCUGCAGUGAAUAACUGUAGUUCAUGACGGUAUCGACAGAAGAAGCACCGGCUAACUACGUGCCAGCAGCCGCGGUAAUACGUAGGGUGCGAGCGUUAAUCGGAAUUACUGGGCGUAAAGGGUGCGCAGGCGGCUUUGUAAGUCAGAUGUGAAAUCCCCGGGCUUAACCUGGGAAUUGCGUUUGAAACUACAAAGCUAG
rnacentral:rRNA from 2 species